AAUAUGCUUAUGAAGAUGACAAAACCCUUAACCAAUUAGCUAUUGUGCCCCGGGCAUAGACACAACGCUUGGAGAAGUUCAAUUGUAAAAAAAAAACAAAAAUUUGCAACACUAAAAUAGACAAUAACAAUUACUCCUGACUAAAGGAAAUCGGGAGAGUGUCUUCAGCCUUCCAAUUAUUGAGUCCGUCACCAAUUGUUGGGAAAAUCCAGCUAUCCAGGUCGCAAUCGCUGUCAGCAUCUUCUACAACAUUAAUUUGACUCUUGUCAGAGCUGAACCCCAGGCCAAAUUUGUCAGACUUGUACGGUACGUCGAUCAAUUGACCCCAGCCAGUAC
rnacentral:lncRNA from 1 species